GGUCCCGUAGUGGAGCGGUUUAACACGCCUGCCUGUCACGUAGGAGAUCGCGGGUUCGAUUCCCGUCGGGACCGCCA
rnacentral:tRNA from 1 species